CAACCCUCAGGCCUCAGUCGCCUGGUGUUGGGGCUUCUACAGCGAUGUAGGCCCCGAAAAUUAGUGGCGGUGCUCUCCAGCACUCCGGGCGCAGUAGUUUAUUCUCGCCUAGGACGUCUGGUAGGCUACCGGCCGUAAAACCACCUAUUUCUCAAGG
rnacentral:misc_RNA from 1 species